rnacentral:lncRNA from 1 species
CCCUAAAAGCAACAGGAUCGCAUCCAGGUUACAGUAUUGAAAUUAGAAUCUACCACUAUUAUUACACAACAUCUCUUACCAAAUCAGAUCAUCUUCGAUAUGAAGAAUCACUGUCAACUAUUCCAGCUAUGACUUACACUUGAAUCUCUAUAGCACAGCUCUAGCUUGCACCAACCUCAUCAACUUUCCUGAACACUCCUCGACCACUGGAUCCUCAACUCUGUCUCCUCGCCUAGCAUUAGCCUUAUUCACAAUAUCAAUCAAUCAUCUCAUCUUUCAGCCUUUCUGAAAUGGUUAGAAAGGAAUAGCAAGAGUGAGCAACAAUGCUCAGCAAGUAAUAAUAAACAAUGACAAUUCUGAAUAAGAUGGCACAGAAGUUCACAAGCUCAAGAUACUUUAAUAAAAGAUUCGAUAUGAAUACAUAAGAUCAGGGUAUUGUAUGAAAUGAUUCGCAAUACCUUGUAGCCAUGGAAACUGAGUAAUUCAAUCUUUCAAGAGAAUUAUUGAAUUGGACUAUCAUAUUUUUAAUUAAAAACCAAGGUUAGGCAGCUGAUCAGUUCCGCACUAACCCCGAGCAGGCCCCGCCAUGCUCUAUCACUGGAUCCAAGGCACUCAUUGGCCUAACAUGACCACUCAUCUGGUCCACAGGUUUAUAUAAAAACAAUAAUCCAAUUCUCUAAUUCAAUUCAACAAACCAACGUAUAUUAAUAGAACAAAAUCACAAUCAUUAUCAAUAACAGAAAUAUUUCAAAUCAAACGUUGAUAAUAAUCUUUUCAUAAAUCACCGUCCAUUCUUUCAUAAAACAUAGUUCAGGAAAUCCCAAACUAUUCAGUAUCCUCAAUUAUCGGCUAAGUUUACUGAAUUUAGCCUGCUAAACCAGCAUGACAAUGGCAGGUUGAAUAAUCAAGAAGAUCCCAAGUCAUUCUAGGUUCCAACCAUCACUGAGCAACACAUGCUUCAAUGACAAUCUGAACUUCGAAUUAAUUUGUAAAACUGGAAUUAUUUGAAUCUUGAGGAUUAGAAAGAAUGGAUGAGGAUAAUCACAGUAAUCAGAACAAUUGCAACAGAUAUAAAAAGAAUGGAUCAGAAUAAUCGCAAGAUAUCCAAGAGAAGGGUUAAGGAUACUUGCCUUAAAUCUGACUCCAGUCUCACAUCUCUAUCUCAUCUUUCAACUUUCACAAUCUAUG